CUUGUCAUUUAGAGGAAGUAAAAGUCGUAACAAGGUUUCCGUAGGUGAACCUGCGGAAGGAUCAUUACAAGUGAGGCUACCGAACGUUGGAAACAGCGGUUAGGAGCUUACACCCACCCGUGUUUACAUACUAUUGUUGCUUUGGCGGGCCGUGGCCUCCACUGCGGGCUCUGAUCGUGUGUGCCCGCCAGAGAACCAAACUCUGAAUGUUAGUGAUGUCUGAGUACUAUCUAAUAGUUAAAACUUUCAACAACGGAUCUCUUGGUUCUGGCAUCGAUGAAGAACGCAGCGAAAUGCGAUAAGUAAUGUGAAUUGCAGAAUUCAGUGAAUCAUCGAAUCUUUGAACGCACAUUGCGCCCUGUGGUAUUCCGCAGGGCAUGCCUGUUCGAGCGUCAUUUAACCACUCACGCCUAGCGUGGUAUUGGGGCACGCGGUCUCCGCGGCCCUCAAAAUUAGUGGCGGCGCCGGUGGGCUCUAAGCGUAGUACAUACUCCCGCUAUAGAGUUCCCCCCGGUGGCUCGCCAGAACCCCCAAUUUUUUACAGGUUGACCUCGGAUCAGGUAGGGAUACCCGCUGAACUUAAGCAUAUCAAUAAGCGGAGGA
rnacentral:rRNA from 1 species